rnacentral:rRNA from 1 species
GACGAACGCUGGCGGCGUGCCUAAUACAUGCAAGUAGAACGCUGAAGCUUGGUGCUUGCACCGAGCGGAUGAGUUGCGAACGGGUGAGCAACGCGUAGGUAACCUGCCUGGUAGCGGGGGAUAACUAUUGGAAACGAUAGCUAAUACCGCAUAAGAGUAGAUGUUGCAUGACAUUUGCUUAAAAGGUGCAAUUGCAUCACUACCAGAUGGACCUGCGUUGUAUUAGCUAGUUGGUGAGGUAACGGCUCACCAAGGCAACGAUACAUAGCCGACCUGAGAGGGGGAUCGGCCACACUGGGACUGAGACACGGCCCAGACUCCUACGGGAGGCAGCAGUAGGGAAUCUUCGGCAAUGGACGGAAGUCUGACCGAGCAACGCCGCGUGAGGGAAGAAGGGUUUCGGAUCGUAAAGCUCUGUUGUAAGAGAAGAACGAGUGUGAGAGUGGAAAGUUCACACUGUGACGGUAUCUUACCAGAAAGGGACGGCUAACUACGUG